rnacentral:misc_RNA from 1 species
CCAAUAGCGUAUAUUAAAGUUGUUGCAGUUAAAAAGCUCGUAGUUGAAUUUCGGGAUUGACACAUCGGUCGUGCCUUAAGGGGUAUGAACUGGGGUAGUCAAUUUCUCACCUUCUGGAGAACGGCGAUGCCCUUAAUUGGGUGUCACGGGGAACCAGGACCUUUACUUUGAAAAAAUUAGAGUGUUUAAAGCAGGCAUUUUGCUUGAAUACAUUAGAAUGGAAUAAUAAAAUAGGACGGCAUGAUUCUAUUUUGUUGGUUUCUAGGAUCACCGUAAUGAUUAAUAGGGAUAGUUGGGGGCAUUAGUAUUCAAUUGUCAGAGGUGAAAUUCUUGGAUUUAUUGAAGACUAACUACUGCGAAAGCAUUUGCCAAGGAUGUUUUCAUUAAUCAAGAACGAAAGUUAGGGGAUCGAAGACGAUCAGAUACCGUCGUAGUCUUAACCAUAAACUAUGCCGACUAGGAAUCAGACGAUGUUAAUUUUUUAAUGACUCGUUUGGCACCUUACG